rnacentral:rRNA from 1 species
GACGAACGCUGGCGGCGUGGAUUAGGCAUGCAAGUCGAACGGUAUCAUCCUUUCGGGGGUGAGAGAGUGGCGAACUGGUGAGUAACACGUAGGUUAUCUACCCUCAAGACGGGGACAACCCAGGGAAACUUGGGCUAAUACCGGAUGUGAGCAACUUUUAGUUGUUUGAAAGGUGGCGUAAGCUGUCGCUUGGGGAUGAGCCUGCGUCCUAUUAGUUAGUUGGUGAGGUAACGGCUCACCUAGGCAAUGAUAGGUAGGCGGCCUUAACGGGUGGUCGCCCACACUGGGAUUGAGAUACGGCCCAGACUCCUACGGGAGGCAGCAGUCGAGAAUAGUCUACAAUGGUCGGAAGACUGAUAGUGCGACGCCGCGUGAACGAUGAAUCCCUUCGGGGUGUAAAGUUCUUUUAUAUGUGAGCAGUGCUUCUUAAUAUUAACAGUAUGGGGAGAGAGAUAUUAGCAUAUGAAUAAGCAACGGCUAACUCCGUGCCAGCAGCCGCGGUAAACUCGU